rnacentral:rRNA from 1 species
UGUACCGCGAAACUGCGAAUGGCUCAUUAAAUCAGUUAUCGUCUAUUUGAUAGUACCUUACUACUUGGAUAACCGUGGUAAUUCUAGAGCUAAUACAUGCUGAAAAACCCCCGACUUCGGAAGGGAUGUAUUUAUUAGAUUAAAAAACCAAUGCCCUCCGGGGCUCCCUGGUGAUUCAUAAUAACUGGUCGAAUCGCACGGCCUUGCGCCGGCGAUGGCUCAUUCAAAUUUCUGCCCUAUCAACUUUCGACGGCUGGGUCUUGGCCAGCCGUGGUGACAACGGGUAACGGAGGGUUAGGGCUCGACCCCGGAGAAGGAGCCUGAGAAACGGCUACUACAUCUAAGGAAGGCAGCAGGCGCGCAAAUUACCCAAUCCCGACGCGGGGAGGUAGUGACAAUAAAUACUGAUACAGGGCUCUUUAGGGUCUUGUAAUUGGAAUGAGUACAGUUUAAUUCCCUUAACGAGGAACAAUUGGAGGGCAAGUCUGGUGCCAGCAGCCGCGGUAAUUCCAGCUCCAAUAGCGUAUAUUAAAGUUGUUGCAGUUAAAAAGCUCGUAGUUGAACCUUGGGCCUGGCUGGCCGGUCCGCCUCACCGCGUGCACUGGUCCGGCCGGGCCUUUCCCUCUGGGGAGCCGCAUGCCCUUCACUGGGCGUGCCGGGGAACCAGGACGUUUACUUUGAAAAAAUUAGAGUGUUCAAAGCAGGCUUAUGCUCGGAUACAUUAGCAUGGAAUAAUGGAAUAGGACGUGCGGUUCUAUUUUGUUGGUUUCUAGGACCGCCGUAAUGAUUAAUAGGGACAGUCGGGGGCAUCAGUAUUCAAUUGUCAGAGGUGAAAUUCUUGGAUUUAUUGAAGACUAACUACUGCGAAAGCAUUUGCCAAGGAUGUUUUUCAUUAAUCAGGAACGAAAGUUAGGGGAUCGAAGACGAUCAGAUACCGUCGUAGUCUUAACCAUAAACUAUGCCGACUAGGGAUCGGACGCUGUUGUCUUUUGACGCGUUCGGCACCUUGCACGAAAGUACA